rnacentral:rRNA from 1 species
AUUGAACGCUGGCGGCAGGCUUAACACAUGCAAGUCGAGCGGAGCGAGGGUGCUUGCACCUUAGCUUAGCGGCGGACGGGUGAGUAAUGCUUAGGAAUCCGCCUAUUAGUGGGGGACAACAUUCCGAAAGGGAUGCUAAUACCGCAUACGCCCUACGGGGGAAAGCAGGGGAUCUUCGGACCUUGCGCUAAUAGAUGAGCCUAAGUCGGAUUAGCUAGCUGGUGGGGUAAAGGCCUACCAAGGCGACGAUCUGUAGCGGGUCUGAGAGGAUGAUCCGCCACACUGGGACUGAGACACGGCCCAGACUCCUACGGGAGGCAGCAGUGGGGAAUAUUGGACAAUGGGGGGAACCCUGAUCCAGCCAUGCCGCGUGUGUGAAGAAGGCCUUUUGGUUGUAAAGCACUUUAAGCGAGGAGGAGGCGCUCUAGGAUAAUACCCUAGAUGCGUGGACGUUACUCGCAGAAUAAGCACCGGCUAACUCUGUGCCAGCAGCCGCCGCGGUAAUAC